rnacentral:rRNA from 1 species
CCUACGGGAGGCAGCAGUGGGGAAUAUUGCACAAUGGGCGAAAGCCUGAUGCAGCAACGCCGCGUGAAGGAAGAAGGGUUUCGGCUCGUAAACUUCUAUUAAUAGGGACGAUAGUAACGACGGUACCUGAAUAAGAAGCCCCGGAUAACUACGUGCCAGCAGCCGUGGUAAUACGGAGGGGGCAAGCGUUAUCCGGAAUUACUGGGUGUAAAGGGUGAGUAGGCGGCAUGGUAAGCCAGAUGUGAAAGCCUUGGGCUUAACCCGAGGAUUGCAUUUGGAACGAUCAAGCUAGAGUACAGGAGAGGUAGGCGGAAUUCCUAGUGUAGCGGUAAAAUGCGUAGAUAUUAGGAAGAACACUAGUGGCGAAGGCGGCUUUCUGGACUGAAACUGACGCUGAGGCGCGAAAGCGUGGGGAGCGAACAGGAUUAGAUACCCUUGUAGUC